rnacentral:rRNA from 1 species
CAGCAGCCGCGGUAAUACGGAGGGAGCUAGCGUUGUUCGGAAUCACUGGGCGUAAAGCGCACGUAGGCGGCUAUUCAAGUCAGGGGUGAAAGCCCGGGGCUCAACCCCGGAACUGCCUUUGAAACUAGAUAGCUUGAAUCUUGGAGAGGCGAGUGGAAUUCCGAGUGUAGAGGUGAAAUUCGUAGAUAUUCGGAAGAACACCAGUGGCGAAGGCGACUCGCUGGACAAGCAUUGACGCUGAGGUGCGAAAGCGUGGGGAGCAAACAGGAUUAGAGACCCGUGUAGUCCCUGUCUCUUAUAC